rnacentral:lncRNA from 1 species
AUUAAACAUUUUCUUCCAUUCAAUUUGCUGAACUCUUAAUCUAUUAGGUGAUUUAUAACAUCACCCGGAUUUGUAUGGAUGAGAAUUACCACGAUUUUCUACUCAAGGUGGGAGAUUGAACAUCCUUAAAUUAUCUUUCAGGAAGCCACAAUCCAAGAUGAAGACCCAGAGAGGAGUGCGAAUCCUGCCCUUUCCACAGGAGCUUGGUGGGGCUGAAGGUCACAGUGGGCUGGCCUCUCCUUACUGCAGCAGCCAGGCACAUGACUCAGAGUAUCCCUUGGCAUGGCUACAAGGAUUGGUUCAGAAACGGGCACAUGGACCAGUUUCAGCCAAACCCUGACGGCCUCCUCUGAAAUGUUUCGGUUGGAGUUUGCCAUUUUCUUCUGGAGUUGCUACACAGAGAGGCUGGGGCUGGCAGCCAUGGAAGUCACCUUGGAGGGACACAGGUUGAAGAAGGAAGCCAAGCUAGAUCAGAAGAGAGCUCACAUCUUAUACUGAGGAUGUGACAGGCCCCAGGACCUGACGGAACCACGCAAAUGUGGGAAAGAGCAUUUGAAGCGACAGACACCAAGCACCUGCCCCGUUUUUGGAAAGCAGAUUGUAAGUUGGAAAUUGUCUGCACUUUCAAGGAAGGAAAAAUUCGCAGUCUUUCCAGCUCCAAAUGCUGGCGUGGUGGAAGCUUCAUCUCUGACGAUGCAGAGCCUCCCUCACUCCCUCUUGGUGCAAUGGUAAGUUCUGUGGACCAGAGUGGAUCAGUUCCUUAGUCGACUGUCCGCUGGGGAGUCCUCUGGGAUUUCCAUAAACUGCAUUGGUCCCUUUUUAUUUUCUUACAGCAGUGAUAGUCUUAUUUGUUUAUUUUUUUCUUAUGGGUCCCUUGGAGUCUAGUGGCUGAAGGUCCCUAAGCUUGAGGCCAUACAGGGAUGUGUGUGUGUGUGUGUGUGUGUGUGUGUGUGUGUGUGUGUGUUCCUUCUGAGCCCCAUGGAGGAUGAUGCACUUAAUCUUUCUUACUCUUAGCUCAGCUCAGGAGACCUUUCCACCCUCAAGGAAAUCCUUCCCUCUCUUGAUUUGUUAUAUUUUCCUCAGAGGCAGCCGCUUGAUCUCUUAAUAGGUUUAAGUUCUUGGAACCACAAAUCCCAGGAGAUUCCGCUGCUUAAAACCAUUCCCUGGGGCAGAGGGCCCCUGGGCUGCUCUUCACUUGGAUGAGAGGAGAGGGCGAGAUUUCCAUGAGGUCAAUUCAAAGAAAAUCGUGUCUCCAAAACAUUAUUUCGCCACAGGAACGGAAGAAUGAAGAGAGAUUAGCCACGGAGUAAGGCAUAAAUUGGGGCCGGACUGUGCAGCAGUACAUGAAUGAGAAAGUCCUUCAUUAGGGAAAAGCUGUCUGAGUUACCAUCUUUAACCAACCCCAUCUGAGUGCUUCUCUGUGCUGAGUGGGCGCGUCUGGUCCCACACCCCGUGGCCUUGAAGGAUGAUUCAAAGAUGCCCACUGCUCCUGUGUGGGCUUGGAGGGGCUGACCUCUCUUCCUUUGGUACCUACAGAUGUCACCUCAUCAGGAACCACCAUGUUGAAAGUGGGGCUGUGUCACCCUCCCCCAGUGGCAGGGAGUCUUUUAAGGUCUGCAUGGCUGAGACAAUAUGGUCGUAUAGGCUCCCUCAGUGGAACACGUGCAGGUUUGGAGGUUCUGCUGUUUUCUGUUCCUGUCACAAUCUACUACCAAUGGCAAACAUCCAAAAGGGUGAAAGGUGUUCAGAACAGGAUUAAAUGAUGUGCUGUCUUCUUGAAGUUUCUUUUUUUUCUUUUUAGGGCUGUACCCGCAAGCAUAUGGAGGGUCCCAGACUAGGGAUUGAAUCGGAGCUGUAGCUGCUGGCCUACACCACAGCCACAGCAAUGCCGGAUCCUUAACCCACUGAGUGAGGCCAGGGAUCGAACCCGCAACCUCAUGGUUCCUAGUCGAAUUUGUUUCCCCUGCACCAGAAUGGGAACUCCUGAGCUUGAGUUUUCCAUGCAAAGAAGUGUUUCCUCCUCUUCUUGUCUGUUCCUCUCUCUUUAUCCGCCUGCUUCUUUCCUUUCCCCUUGGGAGACUAUUGACUAUGUUUCUGACCUGGUACCUUCUGUGAUGAUGGAACAUAUCACAGCCUGGGGCCUCUUUAAGACCGUGUCCCAGCUUGCCUGGUAUGAAAACGAACACCCGUCUUUCUCCCUUCCUUCAAUUUUCAAGUAUGCUGCAUUCAGAGCAUCUUCUUGGUACGAUAAGAAAAGAAUAAUUAACAUAAAGGGGAAAAGUUCUUCUGACCUGCCUGUGUCCGUUGAUAAAACAGCAUUUAGUCCCAGGAUUUUGAAGGUUGUGAUGAUGAGGUUGAGGCAUUUGAAAAAAUGUUAAGCUGGUAACAGGGUCACGGGACAUCAAAGCUGCUGUUUCAGGGGAGUCAUUAUACAGUUUUUAAAGCACUUUGUAGAUGUAUCUGUUAGUUCAUUUGGGCUUCACAACAACCUACAGAAAUAGAUAAGACAGGUUUUUCCUGUUUUAUGAAUGAAGAGAUUGCAGCUAAGGGAUUUGCUUCAGGUCACAUAAGUAGUCAAUGGUAGACCUGGAACUUUAGCGCAAAUCUUCUGAUUCCAAGGCCUCUGAUGCACAGUGUUAACUAGAGGGACACAGAUUUAUUUCUUCAUUCAAGUCUUUGCUGGAUAAUCUUGUGUAAGUGGGUUAACACAAUAGACUAAUUUUGACAGAUUUCAUAUCCUUAAAAUGCCAGUAGUUUGGCUUAUAUGGUAACUGGGGUGCACACCUGUUGAAUUUGCCUUCUUAGCAUUCAGGUCCCUUAUUUCUGAUAACAAAAUGCUGAUUUUCCUCGGAGGACCAAACCUUCCCUGUUAUCUGUAGAUGUGGUGGGACAAUACCCUGUCUCCUCACCAGCCUAGGGCUGGGCAGGAUCUCUUGGCUCUGACUUGGGAAUUUGCAUCUUCAGCUGGUGACUUGAUGGGAAAAAUUUCCCCAUUCUAUGUCAGAAUCUCCCAGAGAUUUUAUUAGGUUUCUAUUACCUACAUCUUUGGAGACUUCCUGGUCCUAAUACUUUCUGAGGCCUGUUUGCUCAUAUCUUUCUUUGAUUUUAGGAACUUCUUCAAACCCUUCCAAGGAAUUCCUUUGGUGAUUAGGUUUGCCAGAUUGAUUUUAGUUAUUUACACCCCAAAGUCCCUAACUUAUGGACUUAUGAAAGAAAUCAAAAAGAGAAACAAUAUCUAUAUCUAGCUAGCUAGCUAGCUAGGUAAUUGUUGGUGGCAGGUUUAACUAUUGUCGGAUGUACUCCCUUUUCACGUUUCCAUAGAAGAAGUAAACUUUCUCAUUCUGUUAAUAUUGGACUUGGCCAUGUGAUUGUCUUUGGCUUCAGAGUGGGCAGGGAAUAUUUCCCUACCCCUUGAUCUUGGGUAUAAAGUGGGAUUUGAUUGGGCUAAUGAGAUAUUAGCAGGUAUGACUCAACAGAGGCUGGAAUUGCUCUUGCCUUCUGCUGUUGCCAUGAAAAGAACAUUCCCAGAUUCAUCCAUAGGUUCCAGGAGAAGGAUGAGAAAUGCAAAGUGCAGAUCCACUCAGCUGAGCUGCCCCAGCCUAGAUCAGCAGAUCCCCAGCCAAUCCACAGAUACGUGAACUCAAUAAAUGUUUAUUGUUG